AAUAUAAAUAGUAGGUGUAGCUUUAUUUGACGUUCAUAAGCGCAUUGUAAUAUGGCUACUUGAAUAAUAAAAUAUCUUUAUCUUAAAAUCACAAUGUUUGUACCAUUAGCCGUAAAAGUGCAUGGCGACUUUAUCAAUGAUUUCAUCAUAAUUUCUACAUGCAAUUUCGCAGCUCACUGUACCUACCUAAUACACAGAAAACAUCUAAGACUCCUGUGCACACCAUACUGACCUUGGACUGAGCAAUCAAAACAAAACGAAAAACAGGCGUUACAAAAAUAACAAAAUGUACCCGGUCAACCCUCCCUGGUCGGACACAAAAAGUACAAAAGUGGGCAGCCUCCCGCCGUCCCCAAGAAUGCGUCGUCCAUCCAUGUAGGUAAAGCAACGGAGUCCUCGGCACUUGUCACCGGCACCCGCGCGUACACCGACAUCGAGUUACGCCAUAACCACGGCCACGCACGGUAAUUUAGCCCUUACGGACUUUGCUUUCCGUUCGUCAAAGGAUGGCAUUGUCGGGUGCAAGCGUAAAUGUGGCAGAUAUUUGACCCCACGAUAAGUGGCGAGGGGCGCCGCGCUCUCGUCCAUUAAUGGGCCUAGCGAGGGGAGUGUUCGGUCUGCUCUGUUUUAAUAUAAACCGUGAUAAGC